AACGCACAUUGCGCCCGGCAGUUACUCUGCCGGGCAUGCCUGUUCGAGCGUCAUUU
rnacentral:rRNA from 1 species